UUUUUUUUUUUUUUUCUCUGAACACUGAAUAGAUCAGAACAGAAAGUCUUGAUUCUAUAGAGAUUGCAAUCGUGAGCCACUAGAGUGACGAUGACAAAAAGAGCCUGAGAAAAUGGGGGUUAGAUACAAAUGCCAGCAUAAAGCCCAGAAAUGAGUGUGCUAUUUAGUGCUGCUCUGGGCAAUGUGUUAGGUGAGAGCUUGCUGUUUAUUAUUUGGGAAAGACAUGAGGACUCUGUGCUGCUAAAGGCCACUAUGCCACUGUUUGUACCUUUGUCAUCUGCAACAAAGCAUCCUGGGCCUCAUGGUCAGCCUUUCUCAUUCAGCUCUGUAACAGGAAAGCAAGAGAGAGAGAGAACAAAUGAACAAGCACAAACUUGGUUCUGACCUGAGGCCUUCUCUUAAUCCUUUCUUAACGUUUAAUGCAUUUUAGCAUGCUAAGCUCAUGUUUUCCUAUGAAGCUGGAAUCAGCGCCAAAUGUUGGAACUAUCUAAUGUGUGGCAUCAGGAAAUAUAGGCAGAACAGAGAGCCACGUUUCACCUAAAAAUACUGUCUGUGACAUUGCUUGUCUUAUUCAGGCACAACGGACAGAAAAACGUUUGAGCUCUGUAAUUUGACAGACAAUAAUCAUCUGGCAUAUUACCUUUGCCAUGCUGUUUAUCCAUGUAGAAAUAACUAGAAGAGCCAAAACAGAGCUAAGUUGUCUUGGGAAAAAGAAAUGAAAUAAUUUGGUUUUAUAAUCUGCCUGUAUAAUCCUUUCAGUCAUGAAUAAACAUUCCAAAAUGCACAAUUGUGACUGAAAUUUAAGGCAUAGAUGAAGUGCUGUUAUCCCAAUGAAGACCGUGGUUUUCUCAAUAUUAUAUUCUACCUUCCACUGGUGACAAUGCAGAUUACUUAUUAAGGACAUGUGGAGAAAGUGACAAAGAGUGACUUGAAAUCACAGUGUAAGCCUGAUGAAAUAUAAGUAGCAAUGGAAAGGGAAGCACGCAUAGGAACUGCAAUAGAGGAUGAGGUAGACCACCAUGAUGAUCAAGUGGAUGAAGCUUUACGUAAGCUGUCCAUCUAAAGAUCAGGGUCUGCCUGGAAUUUUUCAUCAGUCAUCAGGGAAAGAAGACAGCAAGACAGCAAGACAGGUGAUAAUUCUGAGCUUGCUGGGAGCAAUGGAGGAUAGGAAUUCUACUAGGGAAAGACUAAUCAAGGACAAAAAAUGAUAGGCACCUUAGGUGAAAAUCACUGUGAAAUUGUAAAAAUUCAGGAUCUUCACAAAGGAAAAGACUGGAAUAGCAAAAAUAGCAGAGAAAUUGAAGAGGGAGACUUCAGUACAUUCGAAGAUUGAAAGAUAAAAUCCCAAAGUUUACAAGAGAGAACUGAAAAAAAAAAAACAAAAAAACAAAAAACAAACCAAAGCAACCAACAAAACAAGUAAAGACUGCCAGCAAUUUCUUGAAUGAUUGUAAGGACUCAAGUACAAGCUGUCUCAAUAAGGAAAGAGAAUUAAAAGUGUAGAAGGAGCCCUACCGGCUAAAGCAUAUGUUAUUCGAUAUUCUCAGACCUAAUAGUGACACAGUAAGAAAGUAGAAAUGAGAUAAAGUAAUAAGGAUAAUUAGUAUAAAAUAAGUAUAAUAAGGAUAAUAAGUAUAAAAGAGCACAAACGUACGGACAAGAGAAGAAAGGGCACUGCACUGAAUGAGAAGUGAGUCACAGUCAUACUCAGUAAUAAAAUCAGUAGUAAGUAGAAGAAAAGGUGACAGAUGAAUUAAGAAAGCUGAAAUGUUUAAUUCCUCUUUUGUUCCCUUCUUCAAUAAGAAGGUCAGUGGCAAUCAUGCAGAUAUCAUAUUUAACGUCAGUGAUGAGGGAAUGGUAUCUCAGGCUAGAACAGAGAAAGAUAAGUGUAGAGAACAGAUCAGGCUAGACAGUAUUUACAUAAACCAGAUUGCUUUAGAUCAACAAAUUCUGAUGAAAUUUGCCCUGAGGGACUUAGACAACUGGCUGAAACAGUCCCCAGGGAUAUCAUUUGUUAUCUUAGACAAUCUUAGGAGAGCAGGUAUGGAUCCAGAAGACUGAAAAAGGCAAACUUUGACCAGCUGAAGCUGGAAAAUGAAAAUAAAUGUGACACUAGUGACCCAAAUCAAACACUGGAAGUGUUUCUCUAACAUUUUGGCAGGUUCACUGUCACUUAAAGUCUAAUUUAAGCUUAGAAGCCUCUUUUUUACAAGAACUGCUCCAACUCAGAGAGAAAUUAUAGGGAAAUCUGUGCAACUGGAUAUGUAGACUAGAGUUUUUUACUUGGGCAACUCAAAUAUUUAGGGUGUUGCAAAAGAGGGGAAAAAUCAGGGCAGUAAGUCAAUGUAAUGAGCUAAUCAUCCUAUUUCCAUGGCAACAGCAGUGUUGCAGUACUAGUCAUAAAGUACAAGGUACAUUCUAAGAUAUUUAUCAUUGUUUAAUGCAAAGAUAACAGUGUACUGAAGAGUGAUUCAUCUGAAAUGGCAGUGCAGUGAUGAGGAUGUGUGGGCAGAAACAUACUUAAUACUGGGAACUAUCUUCCUCUGUUAGAGCCCCCUCUUCAUCUUGCAGAGUCAGUGACUGCACUCUUUCCAGACAAACCAUGGUAACAGCUUCAAUGUCAGCAGACUUGGACUAUCCUUCUGAGGAGAUAGUAGAUAACCUGUAAAUGAUGCUUACAGUUUUGAAGAUCAAGGUGUUUUUUCACGGCUGCUUGGCAUUUAUGAAAUUCCAUGAGAAAAAUGAAAAAGUCCUUAGAAACAAUCUCUAUUUCAGUUUAUUUGAAAUGUUCUUUUUUUUUUUUAUUUCUUUUUUUUUUUUUAAUAAAUUCAACACAAAGAUUAACACCAUGCCACUUCCAGAUUUUUUACUCAGAAGCACUCACACUUUGAUGGCCUAUCUCUUCAGAAAUAGCUAGCUAUCAGUAGAAAAUCAGAACACUGAAACCCUAGCAAUUUACUUCUAUAUCCCAGAAAACAAAUAGAAGUGAUUUGCGUUUUCGGAUGUAAUAUGUAGCGCUUUUCAAAAAGUCAGCCAAAACCAAAGGAUUUCUCACUAUGCAGCAACUCUGUUGUUCAGUUGAAAUGGAAAGUCAUGUAGAUUUCUAAGUUCCCUAGAGCUCAUCUCGGGAGCUAGCAGGGUGGAAGAAAAUACUGAAUAGAACUGAGCUGUUUUAUCAUCCGCUUUAUGAUUAAAAUGACAUUAGCACACAAAAAAAGGGCAAACUCCAGGUAGGACUAUACUAUAAAAGACUGCUUUUGAAUAUAAGAAAAAUAUUUUACAAUAGAUCAGAUUUCAUUUAAGAUAACUAUCUCAAACAAUUUUCAGCCAACUAGAAGAAUGAAAUG
ensembl:lncRNA